rnacentral:lncRNA from 1 species
UAAGAUUCGAAGGUUGAGAGUUUGAGAUUGGGGAAGAGGGACCAUGGGAUUUAUAGGGUGUAAGUUUGAGGUUGAAAGGAGGCGGCGCCGCCACCGGAGAAACUGUGGUGGCGUUAGAGUCCACGGCUUCAAAUCAAUAUACGACGGAUUCAGGCGAGUUUUAAGGAAAAACACUGGUGGAUUCAAGAUGAGGAGGUUAAGGUGGGCUUGUUGUAUAAAUUUGGUUGGGAUUGGACGUCGGCCGCCGCUGUAGGUGAUUUUCAGUGGGCGACAGGUGGCUGGCAGCGAAGACAGUGGGGAUUAGUCUCCAGGGUUUGAG